rnacentral:rRNA from 2 species
UACGUAGGGGGCGAGCGUUGUCCGAAUUUACUGGGCGUAAAGCGCGUGUAGGCGGCUUUUUAAGUGAGAUGUGAAAUCCUGCAGCUCAACUGCAGAACUGCAUUUCAAACUGGAAGGCUUGAGUGUGGGAGAGGAAAGUGGAAUUCCUGGUGUAGCGGUGAAAUGCGUAGAUAUCAGGAGGAACACCCGUGGCGAAGGCGGCUUUCUGGCCCACCACUGACGCUGAGACGCGAAAGCUAGGGGAGCGAACGGG